GGGGGGGGCAAGCGUUUGUUCGGAAUUACUGGGCGUAAAGGGCGCGCAGGCGGGCGAGACAGUCUCUCGUGAAAUCCCACGGCUCAACCGUGGAAUUGCGGGAGAUACUACUCAUCUUGAGUCCGGGAGAGGAGAGCGGAAUUCCCAGUGUAGCGGUGAAAUGCGUAGAUAUUGGGAGGAACACCAGUGGCGAAGGCGGCUCUCUGGACCGGUACUGACGCUGAGGCGCGAAAGCUAGGGGAGCAAACGGGGAUUAGAUACCCCGGUAGUCCUAGCCGUAAACGAUGAGCACUUGGUGUAGCGGGUAUCGACCCCCUGCUGUGCCGAAGCUAACGCAUUAAGUGCUCCGCCUGGGGAUACGGUCGCAAGGCUG
rnacentral:rRNA from 1 species